CUCCUGUCUCAGCCUCCCAAGUGUAGCUGGGACUACAGGCACACGCCAUCAUGCCCAGCUAAUUUUUUCUUUUUUAAUGUAGAGAUAAGAGUCUCACUGUGUUGCCGAGGUUGAUCUCAAACUCCUGGUCUCAAGAGAUCCUCCCACCUCAGCCUCCCAGAGUCAGAACCCAGAUCCUGGACCUCUUCUUUUCUUCAUCUAUACCACUGCUUCCUUGAUAAGAGAUCAAGAUAUAUACAAAUUAGUCUUUGAAAGAUCUUUCACCUUGUUCAAAGUUAAGAUCCUGUGAACACCAGAAUUGUUCCGUGGCCUCUUCACUAUUGAUUGCAACAGUAUCAUUUACCUGAAGCUACACAGUGACCACAAAAACCAUGUCCAGGACACCAAAUUUCUACUGCGAACUCUAGGUCCUCACGAGCCUUUCUCUGCGAGUCCAAAAUUCAGCCACAUUUCCUAAGAGGCACCUGUACUUGUCUAUUUCAAUGCAGCCAGAAGCUGACAACGGCCCAGGAACCAGGACUGCUUUCAGGAGGCACUCAGAAGGGCAGUAAAGUACCCUCUCAACAUUAGUAAAAUGAAACAAAAGUGUCAGCCUUGGCUUCGCACACACUUACCCGUUCAUGGUCAAAGGCCAUCCAUGCCUUUAGAGAUGGACACAUGACCCAUCCUAGGCCAAGCAGGACCUCCCACCUCCCCCAACUCACUCCUGCUCCAGCUCCAGUAAGUGUUUUACCGAAAGGCAUGUGGCACACACCAGACCAAUCACAGAAGCAGGAAGAUCCAGAUUCCGUGACAGCUGCUAGAACUCUUAAGAAAAGAUCUUUUCUGCUGGAGUUGCUACAAAAACAGACUCAUGAAAGGUUAUCCUGCCACAACCAGGGAAUCACCUCCGUGAAUGAAUCCAACAGGGAGCACAGCACAGCCAGAAGACUGCCACCAAGACUUAAUGGCAUGAUCGGAACCUCCUGCUCCAGAUUUCCCUGGAGCUAGUUCCACAAUCUGACUUUUCAACAUUAUGAGCCAAUUAAUUCCCCUUUAUGACUAAGCUGGUCACUCAGAACCAACAAGACCUAAAAUAUGGUGAGCUCAGUAUUUUAAGGC